rnacentral:lncRNA from 1 species
GCAAAUCUGGAGAUUUUCUCAAGCCUCUUUAUGAAAAUGGAGAGACCUCACAAGAGAUGCUAAUGGACAGCUGACCCUGCUCCCUGCUCCAUCACAGGUUGUAG